AAGUUGAAAAGAACUUUGAAGAGAGAGUUCAAUAGUACGUGAAACCGUUCAGGGGUAAACCUGAGAAACCCAAAAGAUCGAAUGGAGAGAUUCAUCGUUGGCCGCUUUGGCUUCCGUGUGGUUCGCGAUGACCGGAGCUUCGGCUCCGCGUCACGCAAUCGCUGCGGUAUGUCCGAGGCGGCCGGCGUGCACUUCUCUCCUAGUAGGACGUCGCGAUUCGUUGGGUGUCGGUUUACGGACCGGUAGGUCGACUGGCGAGUUGCGUUCACGCGUAUACUUGCCAGACCUCUGGAUUCCCAACCGGCUGCCCGGCGAUAUAAAACGAUAAUUCAAUGGCAUUGAGCCGCGUCGAACGCGUUCAGGCUCGUCGGCAGAUUCGUCUCGCUCGGAUUUACGGACCUAGCGCCGUUGCCGGGUGCUUGGCGGGUUGUUGGCCGGCGAUGUCCUCGGACUGGCUCUAAAUAUUCUUAUGGAAUAUGCCGAUCGGCGACGCUACUGCUUUGGGUACUUUCAGGACCCGUCUUG
rnacentral:rRNA from 1 species